rnacentral:rRNA from 1 species
AUGAACGCUGGCGGCGUGCUUAACCCAUGCAAGUCGAACGAAGCACUUUAUUUGAUUUCCUUCGGGACUGAUUAUUUUGUGACUGAGUGGCGGACGGGUGAGUAACGCGUGGGUAACCUGCCUUGUACAGGGGGAUAACAGUUGGAAACGGCUGCUAAUACCGCAUAAGCGCACGGCAUCGCAUGAUGCAGCGUGAAAAACUCCGGUGGUAUAAGAUGGACCCGCGUUGGAUUAGCUAGUUGGUGAGGUAACGGCCCACCAAGGCGACGAUCCAUAGCCGACCUGGGAGGGUGACCGGCCACAUUGGGACUGAGACACGGCCCAAACUCCUACGGGAGGCAGCAGUGGGGAAUAUUGCACAAUGGGCGAAAGCCUGAUGCAGCGACGCCGCGUGAGCGAAGAAGUAUUUCGGUAUGUAAAGCUCUAUCAGCAGGGAAGAUAAUGACGGUACCUGACUAAGAAGCACCGGCUAAAUACGUG